AAGACUAUGCAUUCAGAGAUCAUUUGUAUAACUCGUCACUAGGGAAGUUUCUCUGACUAGGUAGAAUACUGGAAGCCACAGAAGCAGGCGUAGUGUUCUCUCCUGAGCAUGAAGCCUCUCUUGGAGUUUCUUUGCUCCAAAUGCCAUUUGCAUUGAUAACUGUCCUCACUUUUUGUGUGGGAGUUAGCCAGAGAGAACAUAGUGAGAGCGGC